UAGCCUAGUGGUUAAGGCUUAUGGAUCGCCAAUCCGGAGACGGCGGGUUCGAUUCCCGU
rnacentral:tRNA from 1 species